rnacentral:rRNA from 1 species
AACGAACGCUGGCGGCAGGCUUAACACAUGCAAGUCGAACGCGUGUAGCAAUACACGAGUGGCGCACGGGUGAGUAACACGUGGAUAUCUGCCUUUUGGUUCGGAAUAACCCUGGGAACGUAGGGCGUAAUACCGAAUGGUUCCUACGGGAGUAAAGAUUUAUCGCCAAAAGAAUGAGUCCGCGUCCGAUUAGCUAGUUGGUGAGGUAACGGCUCACCAAGGCGACGAUCGGUAGCGGUCUGAGAGGACGAUCAGCC